rnacentral:rRNA from 1 species
UACAGAGGGUGCGAGCGUUAAUCGGAAUUACUGGGCGUAAAGCGCGCGUAGGCGGCUUUGCAAGCCGGAUGUGAAAGCCCCGGGCUUAACCUGGGAUUGCGUGUUAAACUGCAGAGCUAGAGUGUUGUAGAGGGUGGCGGAAUUUCCGGUGUAGCGGUGAAAUGCGUAGAUAUCGGAAGGAACAUCAGUGGCGAAGGCGGCCACCUGGACAACAACUGACACUGAGGCACGAAAGCGUGGGGAGCAAACAGG